CUUCCGUAAGGUGACCUGCGGAAGGAUCAUUAAAGAGUAAGGGUGCUCAGCGCCCGACCUCCAACCCUUUGUUGUUAAAACUACCUUGUUGCUUUGGCGGGACCGCUCGGUCUCGAGCCGCUGGGGAUUCGUCCCAGGCGAGCGCCCGCCAGAGUUAAACCAAACUCUUGUUAUUAAACCGGUCGUCUGAGUUAAAAUUUUGAAUAAAUCAAAACUUUCAACAACGGAUCUCUUGGUUCUCGCAUCGAUGAAGAACGCAGCGAAAUGCGAUAAGUAAUGUGAAUUGCAGAAUUCAGUGAAUCAUCGAAUCUUUGAACGCACAUUGCGCCCCUUGGUAUUCCGAGGGGCAUGCCUGUUCGAGCGUCAUUACACCACUCAAGCUAUGCUUGGUAUUGGGUGCCGUCCUUAGUUGGGCGCGCCUUAAAGACCUCGGCGAGGCCUCACCGGCUUUAGGCGUAGUAGAAUUUAUUCGAACGUCUGUCAAAGGAGAGGACUUCUGCCGACUGAAACCUUUAUUUUUCUAGGUGACCUCGGAUCAGGUA
rnacentral:rRNA from 1 species